GGUCAUUCCCCUUCCCUUCUUAAUCCCUAAUUCCCUUCCCUAUCAGUUCUUAUUUCUUAAAAAAGAAAACUAAGUGUCGCACAUCACCUCCAUGACUCCACCAGUAACCUUUAGCGCCGCUGCCCAUCCUGCUCUAGCCCAUCAGCAUUGCUUUUUGUGUCCUGCUUCUUUUUGCUAUUGUUGCUUCCUCUAGUUUUCUUAGUAUAUAUGUCGUCCCACAGUUCAUGUAUUUUGUUAUUCUAUUUUUCUUAUUAUUGUUUUCCAUUGCUGGUUCCACUGUCAAUUUUGGGGUAUUUUAUGCACAAAGAUCAAAUUAUGUUUAAGAUUAAAUUUUCAAUUGUUAUUUUAUUUUUCUUAUUAUUGUUUUCUUAAAUUUGAAGCUAAAAAUUCCUUAUUGUGGAGGAAACUGGAAACUAGGAUAAAAAUUCCGUUGAAUGUGUUUUUAAUCAUAAAAGUAUGUGG
rnacentral:lncRNA from 1 species